UGAAUAUAUCCGGUUUUUUUUCGCCGAUGCUAGGGGACGAUUGAAAGUUGCAACCCUGCUGGGGGGCUGAGCUUCCCUAAGUGUCAAAUCAUAGAAUUUCCUCUGAUGACGACUAUUUUACAGCACACUGUCCUUGUGAUCCACUGACCUACACCAACACCUCUUCCAGCAGCAACCCAGCUUUUCUGCUGGGUCUCCCAUCCGAGUUCUGGCCAGGCCCAAACCUGCUUAGCUUCAGAUGGAUUUCCUAGGCUGACUUAUACAUGGCACAGCUGCUGAUAACAUUUGUUGUUUUUCAACGGGGUGCAGGUGUUACAAGGCCCUGAACUUACAAAAACUGAAACUACAUGCUAAUCUCACUCUCUUUUAAUCCAUUUAUUUCAUAAAAAUGGCCUAAAGAAUGCAAAUUUCUCCUUUGGUGAAGUGUAUAGGUAUCAUUGUAGUGUGGUGUGUUAGGAAGCUGGGACUGUGACUGGAAGCUGACUGGUUUGAAUCCCCAUCGCAUCCCUUUUGGUUCUUUGU